rnacentral:rRNA from 1 species
UUAGAGUUUGAUCCUGGCUCAGGACGAACGCUGGCGGCGGGCCUAACACAUGCAAGCCGAGGGAGAACUUGGCUCUUCGGAGCCUUGGGAGACCGGCGCACGGGUGAGUAAGGCGCAGAUAACCUGCCCAUAGCAGGGGGAUAACUCCGCGAAAGCGGGGCUAAUACCGCAUAAUGCAGCGGGGCCGCAUGGCCACAGUUGUUAAAUAUUAUAUAGGCUAUGGAGGGGACUGCGUGCUAUUAGCUAGUUGGUGGGGUAAGAGCCUACCAAGGCGAUGAUAGCUAGGGGGUCUGAGAGGAUGAUCCCCCACACUGGGACUGAGACACGGCCCAGACUCCUACGGGAGGCAGCAGUGAGGAAUCUUGCGCAAUGGAUGAGAGUCUGACGCAGCCACGCCGCGUGAAGGAAGACGGCCCUACGGGUUGUAAACUUCUUUUGGCCGGGAAGAAGGCUUAGGUUUCGAUCUGAGUUGACGGUACCGGUUGAAUAAGCACCGGCUAACUCCGUGCCAGCAGCCGCGGUAAUACGGAGGGUGCAAGCGUUGUCCGGAAUCAUUGGGUGUAAAGGGUGCGUAGGCGGGCGUCUGCGUCGGGGGUGAAAUCUUGCCGCUUAACGGUAAAAUGGCCUUCGAUACGGGGCGCCUUGAGUACAGAAGAGGCUGGUAGAAUUUGUGGUGUAGCGGUGAAAUGCAUAGAGAUCACAAAGAAUACCGGUGGCGAAGGCGGCCAGCCAGUCUGUAACUGACGCUGAGGCACGAGAGCGUGGGGAGCGAAUAGGAUUAGAUACCCUGGUAGUCCACGCUGUAAACGAUGUAUGCUAGAUGUUGGCCAAUGGGCCAGUGUUGUAGUUAACGCGCUAAGCAUACCACCUGGGGAGUACGUUCGCAAGAAUGAAACUCAAAGGAAUUGACGGGGGCCCCCACAAGCGGUGGAGCAUGUGGCUUAAUUCGAUGCAACGCGAAGAACCUUACCCGGGCUAAAUCCAGCCUGCCGGCUCCCGAAAGGGAGUGUUCCUGCUUUGCAGGACGGGCUGGAAGGUGCUGCAUGGCUGUCGUCAGCUCGUGCCGUGAGGUGUUGGGUUAAGUCCCGCAACGAGCGCAACCCCUGUGGUUAGUUACCAGCGCGUAAUGGCGGGGACUCUAGCCAGACUGCCUACGCAAGUAGUGAGGAAGGUGGGGACGACGUCAAGUCAUCAUGGCCCUUACGUCCGGGGCUGCACACGUGCUACAAUGGGCGCUACAAAGGGAAGCCACCUCGCGAGAGGGCGCGGAUCUUUAAAGGCGUCCCCAGUUCGGAUUGGAGUCUGCAACUCGACUCCAUGAAGAUGGAAUCGCUAGUAGUCGCGGAUCAGCAACGCCGCGGUGAAUACGUUCCCGGGCCUUGUACACACCGCCCGUCAAGCGAUGGAAGUUAGGAGUACCUGAUGUCGGCCAGCAGGUCGCCGAGGGUAAGCCUGGCAACUGGCGCUAAGUCGUAACAAGGUAACC